AUACGUAGGGGGCGAGCGUUGUCCGGAUUUAUUGGGCGUAAAGGGUGCGUAGGCGGCCUUGUAAGUCAGAUGUGAAAGAUCAUGGCUUAACUGUGGUAAGCAUUUGAAACUGCAGGGCUUGAGUACAGGAGAGGAGAGUGGAAUUCCUAGUGUAGCGGUGAAAUGCGUAGAUAUUAGGAGGAAUACCAGUGGCGAAGGCGACUCUCUGGACUGAUACUGGCGCUGAGGCACGAAAGCGUGGGGAGCAAACAGGAUUAGAUACCCUGGUAGUCCACGCUAUAAACGAUGAGUGCUAGGGGUCGGGGGUCAAACCUCGGUGCCGCAGUUAACACAUUAAGCUCUCCGCCUGGGGAGUACGGCCGCAAGGCUGAAACUCAAAUGAAUUGACGGGG
rnacentral:rRNA from 1 species